GACUACGUGGCCUAAUGGAUAAGGCGUCUGACUUUGGAUCAGAAGUUUGAGGGUUCAAGUCCCUUUGUAGUCA